AGGUGAGCGAGUGUGUGAGAGUUUGGUGACUGCUUGUUUGUGUGAUUGUAUGGUGUAUGAAUGUGAGUGAGUAUUUCUAUUUAAACCUACACAGUGAUCUUAUUUGAUCUGGUCUGAGUUUGGCUCUGCUCUGAUCGGAAAUGAUAGGAAAUAUGCUCUCGAGCCUCCGUGGCGAUGAGCAGCUUGCACGAUGAUAACCUCCAGGGCCUCCACGCUUUAUGUUGUGGUCAGAAGUGAUGAGUUGAUCAGAUAUACUAGUUCUGGAUGAAGCUUGGGUUCAUCUUAAGCUUCACAAUGGACCCUGAGUAAAGAGGCGAUUCUGAUCUAA